rnacentral:rRNA from 1 species
AGCCUUAAGUUUUAUUUAAGGUAAGCCCUGCCCAGUGAUAUUUUUAACGGCCGCAGUACUUUGACUGUGCUAAGGUAGCAAAAUAAGUUGGCUUUUAAAUGGAGUCGAGUAUGAACGGGUUAUAAUGGAAAACAGCUGUCUCUUUUAUAUUUAAUUGAAUUUUAUUAUAAGGUGAAAAUUCCUUUAUAAAGAAAAAAGACGAGAAGACCCUAAGAGUUUUAAAAACUUAAUUAGAUUAUUUUGGGUUUUUGUUGGGGUAACAAAAAGACACAUAAUUCUUUUGUUUAAUGUUUUCAUGUCAAAUUUUUUAAGAUCGGUUAAAACUACCUUAGGGAUAACAGCAUAAUUUAAUUUAAGUUUGUGACCUCGAUGUUGGACUAGGAACUAGAUGACUAGCAGUCAAAAUAGUGUGUUCUGUUCGAACAAGGCUUCCUACAU